GGCCCAGUAGUUCAGUUGGUUAGACCGCCAGCCUGUCACGCUGGAGGUCGACGGUUCGCGCCCGUUCUGGGUCGCCA
rnacentral:tRNA from 1 species